GCUACGGGAACUCUCUGGGUGGCAUUCGGCGCAUGCUGUUGGCAACCACACCGGCUGGAUUCCACUCUUUCUUCUGAGCACAGACUGAGCUCCAAAACCAGAUGGCCCAUUAAAAUUGUCCAGGGAAGGUGUUCUGUGCCAGCAAACUGCCAACAAGCUGGCACACACAGUGGCUUUCUAAUGGCCGAGCACAUGGAUGGGAUCUAUGGAAAACGACAUCACUUUUUGAACGAUAAGCAGGAAACAGUGAGUUUUUCUACGGCUGAAAGUUUCUGUGUUUUUUUAGUUUUCAAAAUUUAAUCAGCAUAACGAGGAACUUUUUAUUAGCAAUCCAUGACUUUCUGUUUCGCCAGGAUAUAAGUGUGACACAGAAGUCUGAUUCUUUCAGCAAUUGGUUACUUGGCAGAAGAACCACAUUUAUGUUGUGAUCAGCCACAGUAAGAUGGUGAAGAGGGUAAAGAUAUCUACACAGUUCACUGUUGGAGAACUAUGUCAUCCGAUCCUCCAUAGCAACCAAGAAAUAUUGUUUACCAGCCGAUUGCCUGUCAGGGAGUGAUGCCAGGAAAGAAUACUUGCUCCUUUUUCCUCUAACCUACCAUCAGACCCACAAACCUAAGGUUUGAAAACUACUGGGCCUUUAGCCAAAACAUAUGCUUUUACAAUAUCAGGAUAAAAUUCAAAUUUUUUGCAACAUUGACUGUUGGUAGGUUUGUUGUGAAACAAUCUUAGUAAAUUUGAUAAACCACCUCCUGCAAACUGCUAACUACAGCAGAGGGUUAGUCAUGCUGAGGGUCUGUUUCUUUUCCAAAUGACCAGAAAACCCUCUUACAGUGCAUUACAACAACAAUCCUUUGCAAUGUCGGGCGAAAUUAAAUGAAAUUCUAUUGGAUUAUCAUUCCUAACCAAAUGAUAAUGUAUUAUAAGGUCUGAUCCUAUCAGGAUAACGAUGUAUUAUGGACACAUCAGUCAUGGUUUCCUCCAUGGCCUUCUCUGUCUGCACUGAAUAAAUAGAAUACAUCUUGGAUUUUUAUUAAUUUCACUUUGUGUUAGUAAAAUACUGCAAUAAAAUAUAUGCCUAGUACCAGGCUUUUAUUAAAUCUUUGCCAAGUUUGCUGAUAAAUUUGUCUGCAUCAGAAACUCUGUAUGAGCCCCACCUUUUAAUCUGCUGUACUUACGUCGGUCAUUCAGGGAGUGUUUUAUCCGCAGGCAGGUGGAUUUGAAAUUAAAUCCCUAGUGAUGCUUUUAGAGCAAAUGAUGUGUAACAGUGAUGGCGCUGAUGGUGCAAAAAUAAAAAAAUAAAAACUCCUUCCUCAUUUGCUAGCUCUACAGCCCAGCUGUGCUCUGAUCAGUUCCCACUACUUAAUAAGGAUGUAACAUAAAAGAUUAAAAAGGAAAUUAUUAAUGGAAUGAAACAGCCAAAAAGGGCCAUUAAAGCUGCCCAAAAGAUCAUUGCUGUUCUCAAAAUUCUUUAUCGAGCAGAUUACAGGAAAAUUAGGUGGAAGGAAAAAGUGUGAUAUUGAAAAUGGGGCUUUGAGAGAAUCAGGAAGCAAAGCCUGUUCAAUAAUGUUUUUGUGGAAUCAGAAGCAUGAACUGUGGCUGGAGUCAUAGUUUCACUCAUUGUAUCCCCCGUUAAACAUUCUUGGGUACUGCUACUCUAAAAGCAAAAUGAGCUUCCUUUAAAACUUAGA